rnacentral:lncRNA from 1 species
AAACCUGGCUCAGGUAAAACUAUAAAUUGUACUUUAUUCCUUGCAGAAGACAAUCAAAACAAAAAAUGUGGAGAGAAAACCAUCGGUGAUGAAACCUUGACAGCACAUCAUUCAUGGCAGCUCCUUCAACUGUCUAUAGAGGCUCGUUACUGAGAGCACUAAGGAUGCUUGUACCACAUUUCUCUCUCCGGGGAACCGUCCACUGACACCUAUCUUACAACAAAGAUGCAACAGUGGUUCUUAACAUUUGUUGAAUCACAGAGCCUUCUGAGGUUAGUCACCUCAAAAUAAUGUUCUACAGUCUCCUGAAGUCCAUCCAUGGACCGUGAGUCAGAAUCCCAGAGGAGGACCAUCUGAAUGGCAGGCUUAAGCCUGAGGUGCAAAGAGUUAAUGGAUGACAACCAAGAAGUACCAUAGGAUCUACAACGCAGUUUGGCGAUGGCAGAGAUCUGACACAAGAACUAAGGAAAGACCCCAGGUCAUCUGAGUCAUUUGAAAGCUGUAUCAUGCCUCAAAUUCCUGAGGCAUAGGACUUUGAUCCAUAUGGACUUCUCCACCAAGAUCCAUCUGCCCCACUCCAAAUCAGGCAACCUAAUAUACCUCAAAGAACCUUAACCACCACUUUUUAAGGGACAAUCUUUAUCCUUCCUCCCUUAUUUUUUCUAAUCCCUACUCUGCUUUGUGAUUUCUAUGAUAAUGAAAGAAAAAAAGGAAUUCAGAUAAAUCAAA